UACAGGGGGGGCAAGCGUUGUUCGGAAUUACUGGGCGUAAAGGGCUUGUAGGUGGCCAACUAAGUCACACGUGAAAUCCCCAGGCUUAACCUGGGAACUGCGUGUGAUACUGGAUGGCUUGAAUCCGGGAGAGGGAUGCGGAAUUCCAGGUGUAGCGGUGAAAUGCGUAGAUAUCUGGAGGAACACCGGUGGCGAAGGCGACAUCCUGGACCAACACUGACGCUGAGUGAGCGAAAGCCAGGGGAGCAAACGGG
rnacentral:rRNA from 1 species